GGAGGGGGGUUAAGUUUAAAUAUAAAAGACCCUAUCUCACAAAAUCCCAAAAGAAGGAUCUUCAUGAUUUAUGGCCAAGAAAUUUUUCCCUCCUUCGGUCGGUUUCUUGUUUCUUUCUUGUGAAAGAAUUUUUGGCCGGGUGAUUCUUGAGGGCACUUCAAAGGAGGCGAAGAAGGUACGAUGAGUGAUUGGAAAACCUGUUUUGCUUGGUCUUGCAGACAUAUCGCCUACAACUGCGAGAGUUGCAUCUAAGUUGUCCCAGAGAAAUACCAAGUAAAUAAUUUCAUAUAUCUAACUAAAGUGCAACACUGGAGUAUUGAUCCAUAGAGAAGCCCCACCUCUUUACAACUGAUAGGAUCUGAACUAUUGAUGCCAUGUAUACAUCACCCUGCAAUAUGCAAAUUCAGAAUUGAUGGUAAUCAUGUGAUGCUAAUGAAAAGAUUUGCAGGUAUGACAAUAGAGGGCAAA